rnacentral:ncRNA from 1 species
UAUUUUCAGGGCGGGGUGAAAUUCCCCACCGGCAGUAAAGUCUGCGAACCGCGAAAGCGGCCGAAUCGGUGAGAUUCCGAUACCGACGGUUAAAGUCCGGAUGAGAGAAAAUG